UUCAUCCGAUGUUUUUGAAUAAAAUAGCCUUGACAGCCUUGCUGGAACUCAUCUGUCUGUAUAACUGUUCUCUCCCGCCGGCGCCGCCGGACUUCUACAGAAUCUACACACAAGCGAGUGUGACGUGCGCGGUGGACCAAACCACUGUGAGGCAAGGGAGGGGUGACUCCAAAUGUUUCUAAACUUAAAAUGCCCGUUUGUGUUUGUAUUGCUUUACUACUUACAUAAUUAUUUUAAGUUUUAUAAUUUAAUACACAAUACUUAGCGUGGUUAUUAAUUAUAUUUUUUUGGGGAGACAGCACUCAGAUGGGGGGGUCCUGACCCCCCUGUCCCCCCCGCUAUUUACGCCCCUGCUGCUACUGCCGAAAACAUUUGUGUCAAUUUGGCAGCGUUUUUUUUCUCUCACGCAGCUUCUCUGCACCUCCUUUGCGUUUCUUCUCCAUGAUCACCAUCACACUGAAACUGCAUGCAGGAAGAAAUCCUAUAGAUGGUACUGUUCAAAGAUAUGAUUGGGCCAGUCCAGUGUCAAUCAAGAAAACAACCAAUGGGCUGCUGAGCUACAUGUUUCAUGAGCCGCGUCUGUCAGAAGGAAAAAAAAAAAAACACUAGCCUAUGUGAUAUUUUUGACUAAAGUGUUUUGGGCCAGCAGCCCAGUGUCAAUUGAAGAAGUAUUGGGCCGCCGAUCUAGGCCUACCACUUUCACUUUCACUUUCAUUUUUUUUUUUUUUUUUUUUGCGGUCGGCGACCGUCGAACCCAAAAAGCACGUCAGCCCACUGGGAAAGUGCCCGUAUGCCAGAUGGCCAGUCCGCACAUGAUGGAAGUCAAUGGUGCCCAUCAACUGUUUGGUCCUGACAAUUGGCAGUUCGGCUGGAGACGCCACCUCAUGACCCCAAAGGGACACCCAGUCCCUAAAUCCAGGGUCCCCUCGUCAGCAUCCUGAUGCAUGGAGAUACGCUUCUUACUUAUCUGUCCAUGUGUGGAAGAUUUCUAAUCUUGUCUAUCUUCUCUUAGCCAAUCAGAAUUCUUUAACCUUAAGUAAUGACGUAGUUAGUUGGACUCUGUUAUGCUAUAACUGUUAUGGAAAUGUGAAUGUACGCAGAGUGGCCUAUGAACUCCUUGUGAGAUCUGAAGCUGGCUUCUGCUGAUGAAACUGCAAACUAUUCUUCAGUAAAAUUGAUUGCAUCUCUGA